CCUCACUGUGGGCGGCAUGCUAUUCUCAGUGUGAGUUCCCUAAUGGCCAUAAUGGAGGACAAGACCAUUUAUUAUUACCGGGGGGUGAGGUAUGUAUACGGCUACAAUUAAGGAGAAAAACAUCCUGGUGCUUGUAAAGGGCAGUAAUGUGACUCAGGGAGUGAUGGAUGCUGGGGAAUGAGUCGCAGGCCGGUGGGAGUAUCUUAUUAUCUUAGGCGUGUUAGGGAUCCGUCAUUGAGGUAAAUUAAAGAAGGAGAGAAGAGGUGAUGGAGGGUAAGGAAAAAUGAAAGAAGAAGAAAGAAAAAAAGGGACGUAUGCUGAUCUUACAGGGAAGUAGCAAGGAAGUAGGAGAUGCAAAGAAGGUGGUACUCAUGUUUGCUCAAUAUCUAACUGCAUACCAGAAGCCAAGACAGAGAGCAUGCUUACUUCGAGCGUGUAUAUUUCUUCAAUAUUUAACAUGAGAUGCUUUUCUGUUUUUCCUGCAACUAAAUAACACCACUGAGAUUUUACCCUACUUGCAAAAAGUUUGUUUGUGUGUAAGCUGUGAUGACUGCAACUAUCCAGCAUGAAUAUAAAGUUGUACCAUUGCCUCCUUCACCUAUGUAUGCACAGGUGUAUGUGGUAUGUAUUUUAUCGUCAUUAUUUAUACUGAUUUAAUCAUGCGCAUGCAUGCCUAUUUUUCUCUGCAGCUUUCCAGUGAAAUUAUUCUGUCAUUGCAACAUCCAAAGUCAUUAGUGUAUGCCUGGUAACACAUUAUAGUAUGCAUGUACAGAACAUGCCUGUAUACCCUUUUUUAAUAAGAAGCUAUCUAUUUGAAUUACUGUAUCAGGCUGCAUCCACAAUCAGUAGUUUACCCUGGGGACUGAGUCGGACAGACGGUAUGGGUGGUCAGCAGCAAGCAAAUCUCAAUUACACUGACAGGUGACAGUGAACUAAAUAAAUUAUCAUUAUGCCUGCAGAGCAGAGCCAAAUGUAUUACAGGGUCUAUGCGUAUGUUUACGUGGGGCACUGGUAUACGUGUGUCCUCUUUUGGGAUAAUCAGCUCUAUGCAUGAAUUCAUUGUGUGGGGCAGCAAAUGCCAAUGAGCUGCCUAAUGGCACCAUUAGGCUCUGACAAAUGAAAACACUAACUUACACCAAAAUGGAGAUUCAUAGGUUUCAUUGCAGUUGGUUUCUUAACCAUCACUGCAGGGUCAACCUUAUGAUUAUGUAUGCCUGUGACAUUUUGAACUGCCAUUGAUUCAAAUGGAACAUUUUUGUCCAUGGAUCACAGUGAUUCAGGUAGUACAUGAGGUGAAAUCCUAGAAUGUAACAGGGGCGGAUUUUAUUAUCUCUGGUGAUUGGUUAUGUCUAGCCCUAAUAGAGGCAAAGUCUGUCCAAAUCAGGCAAUCAGGGAGGUUAACUCUGCGCUGACUUGGGCUUUCUAAUACUGAUGUAUCAUUAGGCUAUGAUGGGUGUGAUGUUAUAUGACUAAACCCUCCAAGCAAUGCAAGUAAAACCUUAAAAAGUCAGGUAAGGUGAUGGACGAGCACAGUGGGAAAUGGUACCAUUUGUACUUUGCUUAUCAUGUAUAGCUUCAAAGAUGUCACUUUCACUAAACCAAAAACCGACUCCUGUGGAUAAAUAGUAAAACAAUUCAUCCUCCAUUGCCAAGGAAAACAUCCCCACAAACUGACUAUUCAUACCCAUAAAAAAUUAGAACAAAAUUGUAUGUCCUAGAACCCCAAACAAAUGGUAGACAGUUUUCUCCAUGUCCAUUUCCUGUCAUACCCUGAAAUCACUUCGAUACAAGUUGUGUAGACUGAAUUAUGUAGCAGACUGCCUGAAAAAUAAAUGCAGUACAUAACCUUAAAAAAACCAAUUGGUAUUUAUAAGCACACGGAGGCCAGGGGACUAAGAAAUAUCCCAUUUAAACCAUGCUGAUAUGCUGUUUAGACACCAUGCAACGUUUUCCAUCUCAUCCUUAUCUGGAUAAUCCAAAAUUCCAAAAAUGGGAAUAAAAUGUCAUGGUCCUCUAUCUCAUGUACAUACCCGUGACAUUUCUUGAGCAUGGGGUAUAAACUUUGUUUAUCCCUGGAUCUGUGUGUGCUGAGCAUGUGUGUCUGCAUGGGCUUCGUCUGUUAGUGUGUCUAAUCUGAUGUGUUUGUUGCAUGUGUGUCUGCUGUGUCUAUGUUUGCAGGUGGACUUUGUAAAUUUACUUUCCGGUAGAUGUCCUUGAUUUGCAGUGUCAGUGGUGUGCGCUGAGAGACAGGCCAGUUUAAUGCACAAAUAGAUAAUCCCCAGCCUUGUGGUGGAUGCAAUAUGAUAAGAAAUUUAUUGUCAUACCGAUGUGCUUUCAUUGAUAUCAUCAUGCGCCAAAUGCAGGAUCGGAGAGCGGAAAAAUGGUAAGAAACAGAGCGACAUAGAGGAACCCGGAGAAAGACAGAAACUAAGACAAUUAGUCACAAAAUGAGACAGAAUGAGCACGGGCCGAGAAUAAGAAGCUAUUCAGUUAUUCAGACAGAAGGAAUGACAAAGACAGUCAGACAGCAGGAGCAGGAGAUAGAAAGAGGCAGAUGGGGGACAUUAAGUCAAAGUUAAGUAACCAUCGUCUGCUUCUUUAUCUCACCCAGAUAUGCUAAUCCAGUGAGCCUCUGCUGAUAUGAGUUUAACAGCCUGGCUGGUGCGUGUGUGUGCGUAUGUGUGUGCGCGCGUCUGUGUCUGUGUGUGAGUGUGAGAGAGUGCGAAAAAGACCCAGUUGUCCUUUUUCAUCAUGCUUCCAGUUACACCAGCUCUGCUUAGCCUGUACCGGAUGACACAGUUAUAAUCUCAUUGCAAUGGAAAAGUACGGAUAAAUUACCUAAGGCACUCAGCAAAAUGUGACUGGUUGCGUUUGCAAGGGCAGGAUAAACAUAAUAGUGUGUGAAGUGACUAAAUGUGUGUGUAUGUGUGUUUGUGGAGGGAAGAGAAAAGAGUAGAAGUGUGUGCUCUUGGCAGAGAAAAGAAUUAAUGUGUGUGUGAAUGGUUUGUAUUUGGGUCAGAGAAGUUUGGGAACCAGUGCUAAAUUGUUUCGGGUUAUAAGAUGCAAAUGGACAGUCUGGAAAUAUAAGAGCUAGAGAGCAGGGUCACAUAUAGAUCUGUCAUCAAAACAAAUGUAUGAGAUCAACAAAACUAGGACACUUGAAUGGGCCUGUUGCACAAAAGUUUACCUGAGACUAAUCUGCAGAUUGAUUUCAAAUAAUUUUCUUUUUCCAAGUUUUUAAAGACUUUUUGAAGAUUUAUAAGAAAUUUCGGUUGUUUACAAAAGCCCACAAGGCAGAAAUGUAUUUUUGCUUUUAACAGACUUUGUUAAUUUUAUCAGAAGAACCCACACAGGUUCUUAUUUAGUUACUUCUUUAGGACAAACUCUGUGGUCUCAGUCAGAAUCAAGCAUCAUGUCUGCAAACUUUUGAUAUAUGUUCUAAAGCUGAAUGUAGUGAAAUUAAUUUAUUGAAAGGUUCAACAGAGUAAAUUUGAUGAUAGAAAAUCAGAGUUAAAAAAACAGUAUGUAACUGAGUUACAAAAGUAUGUACAGUUGUUGUUAAACUUCAGUAAAAGCAAAUAGGGGGGGAGUAGUUGAAAGAAAUAUUCUAUAUAAAAUAAAGCUGAAUGAGCAAAAUGAUUGAUGGAAUUUUUAACAGAGUGCUCCUCAACAAAGGAAUGAGUACAAACUAUUUGACUGGGGAUGUAAAUGUGUGCGAAAACAGAGCUGUGAAUUCACCAUUUUCACAGGAUCUGUGUAUUGCCAGUUUGCCCAGCGACAGAAGGGGUGGUAUUUUCAAAAGAUUCCCCCCAGGAACCCAGUUUAAAAAAGUUUGUGUUGUCAGUGUUCAAAAUGCUCUUUCUAUGUUAAAGAACAGCCAAAAGGCAACAGCAAUUUAUCGUUUUCUACUGAAUAUGUUUCUGUGCGCACAACCCCUUUGAAAGACCCAACCAAACCCACCACAUGCAAGCACUGGGCAAUAUUUUGCAACAGGGGCACAGAUAUAGUUCUUGUUAAACAGGCAGAAAACAGGGAGCAGGUUUUUAGGUUUCUUUUAAAGCAAAUCUAAUUGCCGCUCCAGAGAGGCCUCAUUACCAUAUUCAACAUUUCAAACUACUCACAAAUGAUCAAGGGCUGACUUUGACGACUGGAUUUUGGAGUGUGCCUAAUAGCUAUCAUGGCGCUCGACAUUAAGUGUUCUUAAUGUUUAAAAAACAAGUUUUAGCACUCGUGUCAAGCAUAAUUCUGGGUGAAAUAACCUGACAGGAUCCCAUACACAUCAGAGCCUUCAUAUCAGACAACCCACGGACACUAAUUUCAUAUCACAUGGCUGUGAGUUUAUCUUCAAUAUUUGAGACCAAUCAAUUAGACAUGCUUCUUGCUAACUCUGAGACUUGACCUAGUAACACAAAUAGAUUAUAAUCUAGCAGAUGCUUUCAUGUAAGGACAAGUUCAUGUUGGUUCAAGAGGGGAAAAAGUGCUCAGACUGUGUAACAUAGUGUGACUGAUCAGCUGCUGCAGCAUUUGUCGUCUGAUUCCAAUUCACCUUUAUUUUCAGUGGCAUGUUCCUGCGACUUUGGCAUGCUGCAGUUAUGUGUAGCCAAUCAUCACUCGGGCCCUAACGAUGGCGAGAUUGUACUAUAACAUAAUAGAAACUCAUGAGCAUGGCCACAUGCUGUGAAAUCCAUGACACAUCUGCAUGAACGGACAUGCACCCACUGUCAUGCAUGUACACUGGGAUGAACACACUCUCACAGACACACUCACAUCAGAGAUCUCAGAACCUUUUGCCGGUAAAAUGACUAUUUCAAGCCCCGAUGGCUAAAGUGAAUAAAGCCCCAUUAACCGUCUUCUUCUUUUUUUUUCAAUUCUCUCCAUUUCUCUCUCUCUUCUUCUGUUUAUUUCCUUUCUUGACAGUCUCUUCCUCUUUCUCUCCCCUUUUCCUUCUCAACCCCACCUUUCUAUCCAUCUAACUCUCCUCCUCAGCCCUCUCUCUCUCUCUGUCUCUCUCUAAUAUCUCCCCUGCAGCCAUUUUCGGGACUCUACAGGGAGGGAAGCAAUCUUGGAUUUAUUUUACCUCCAAUUUCCAAUUUGAGAGACCCCUGCUGCUGGAGGCGAAUCUUCGAAGGGGCCUGAU